rnacentral:rRNA from 1 species
AUGGGAUUUGAGCUGUCAGAACUUGGGGCAUUGACAGAGCUUCAAGGAGGACUGAUUAUACGUGGUCUUGAACACGUGGCAAACAAGGAGGAAGCUGCUGCAGCAAAACUGAAGUUGAAAAAGAAUCUGAAGGAGGUGGAAUUACUCUGGGGCAGAGACGGACCAACUACAGAUGCUGAUAUCCUUGAUGCUCUUCAGCCACACUCGAAUCUUAGAGCACUUACAAUUGCAAAUCAUGGUGGUACCGUCGGUCCUAGUUGGUUGUGUCUUGACAUCUGGUUAGUAAGUUUAGAGACUCUCACUCUAGAAGGCAUAUCUUGGAGCACCCUCCCACCUUUUGCGAAGCUACCAAAUCUCAAGCGACUCAAAUUGAAGAAAAUUUCUGGAAUGCAUCAGUUUGGGCUUCGAUGUGGUGGCGCUCCAGGGAAAUGUUCUAUGCGCUUGAACAGAGUCGAGUUUUAUGAGAUGCCGGAACUUGCUGAAUGGGCUGUGGAACCUAAUUGCCAUUCCUUAACAAGCAUUGAAAAUAUCAUAUGCAUCGAUUGUCCCAAUGUCAGUGUGAUGCCCUUCUCAGAGGUAUCUUGCACCAAUUUGCGCGGACUUCAAGUUUCUGGGUGCCCAAAGAUGUCUCUGCCCUCCAUGCCUCACACCUCCAUACUGACAGAUUUAUAUGUUAAAGGAGGUGAUUCAGAAACGUUGUUGUCUUAUGAUGGAAAGCUAUUGGUUGUUAGUGGGUAUGGCGGUGCUUUGGCCUACCACAAUAUGGAUAAACUAGAAGAUAUGGCUAUUAAAAAUGUAUCGUGCAUAUCAAUGCAGUUCCCAUCAUCCAGCUCACUGCAGAAACUUAGCUUUAGAGACUGCAAGGGCCUGGUUCUUGUGCCUGUGGAGAAUGGAGGAGAAAUUCAGGAGGACAACUCAUUGCUCCAAUCAAUAACAAUAUGGGGAUGUGGCGAAUUGUUCUUUCGGUGGCCCAUGGCCAUGGGAGAAUCAGACACCAUUUACCCUUUCCCUGCUCCCCUGAGGAAACUUGAUGUUUGGGGCGAGCAAAGCAUGAAGUCGAUGGCUCUGCUCUCAAACCUCACGUCUCUCACCAGUCUAAGCCUAAUAAGUUGCGGUAAAUUAACGGUGGAUGGGUUCAAUCCUCUCAUCACAGUCAACCUCAAAGAACUGCAAGUUACCAGCAGCAGCACCUUAGCAGCAGAUCUGCUCUCAGAGGUGGCAAGGACCAAAUUAUUGCCUGCAGGUUACGUGUCUAGAUUGGAGAAGCUCAUUGUGGAUAACAUCUGUGGAUUGCUUGUUGCUCCUAUUUGCAGCCUCCUCGCCCCGAGCCUCCACACACUUGAAUUCCAGUAUGAUGGGAGGGUGAAAAGCUUGACGGAGGAGCAAGAGAAAGCGCUGCAGCUCCUCACCUCCCUCGAGAAACUACAUUUUCUCUGGUGCUAUGGUCUGCAGUCCCUUCCUCAAGGGUUACAUCGCCUUUCUUCUCUCAAGGAGUUACAUGUCGUUGGGUGUCUAAAAAUCCAGUCGAUGCCCAAGGAGGGCCUCCCGGUUUCGCUGCGAAAACUAGAGAUGAAUUGGCGCAGUGCUGAGAUAGACGAGCAGAUUGAGAAAAUCAAAAGAACCAACCCACAUUUAUCCGUCGAAGAAUAA